rnacentral:rRNA from 1 species
UGGGGAAUAUUGGACAAUGGGCGAAAGCCUGAUCCAGCCAUGCCGCGUGAGUGAUGAAGGCCCUAGGGUUGUAAAGCUCUUUCACCGGUGAAGAUAAUGACGGUAACCGGAGAAGAAGCCCCGGCUAACUUCGUGCCAGCAGCCGCGGUAAUACGAAGGGGGCUAGCGUUGUUCGGAAUUACUGGGCGUAAAGCGCACGUAGGCGGAUUGUUAAGUCGGGGGUGAAAUCCCGGGGGUCAACCCCGGAACUGCCUUCGAUACUGGCAAUCUAGGGUCCGGAAGAGGUGGGUGGAAUUCCGAGUGUAGAGGUGAAAUUCGUAGAUAUUCGGAGGAACACCAGUGGCGAAGGCGGCUCACUGGUCCGGUACUGACGCUGAGGUGCGAAAGCGUGGGGAGCAAACA